CUCACACACGAGCCCUGUGCUGCACUUCACGCACGGCAGACCCGCGGCGUUCAAGCCCCGCGUUGUGCAUAUGCCGGGACGGCGACUGCCUCUCGGGUCAGGCACCUGGCCAGACCCCGUCCGGCCUGCCUGGAGAGGGCUGUAAUGCAUAAUAUGUCGACCCCCCAAGAGAUCUGGGUAGCGGGGUUUUAGAGCUGGGCUCUCUCCCGUUGGAACGUGAGCGAAUGGGUUCGAGGGUUCGCCCCGUCAGGUGGGAAGAGCCGAGCCGCACGUCCGGCAGGACGCAAAAUGGAGGCGAGGCCUUCGCAGGCGGCUCCGGGCUGAGGCGUCGCAGCAAACGGCUUGAGGGGCUGAAGACGUUCCCUAAAGAACAGUGGGCAUCUGAGCAGAUGAAUAUUCCAGAAUUUGGUCAGUUAUUUAAAACAAAAGAUAAAAAUAAAAAAACACUGUAUUAUAGUGAAAAUGUUUAUCAGAUGAAGAGCUCAGCUUUAACAACACGCCUUGCCAAAAAGCUUUGCAAAUCGUUCCUCACUUGGGAGCAUGUGAGAAAGGGCUGUAAUAAGAAUAGCUGAGAUUUGCUGGAGCCAAAGCUUACGGAAAGAAGAAUCUGCAGGUUUAAAAAGUUACUUCCUUCUAAGAUGCUACAAGCAAUUCCACUGGCAGAUCCCCAUUCAUGUACCAUAUAAUUGUUUCCUGAUUUGGGAUACCAAAAUGAUAAAAAACAUAUGAGGUUUGAGUAUAGAGUAAUGAGGCACCAAUCUUACAAACAGACCCAAACUUACAUUUUCAAAUCAAUCUUUUCAUUCAGAGGCAUCACCUCCAGAGUCUAUACCCAUUCCAUUUGUAUGGCCAUUCUUCUCUUUAAAAUUACUCUCUUGAUGGACAUCCUGUUUACAAAUCUGUAAUGAGUCCCAAUUAUCAUAUAUUGAGAGAAUUUGUAUUAUCAUUCAGGGACAGUAUUGGUGAACAGAUAGGUGACCUAGCUUGUUUUAGGUAAAGAAGAGAAAGAAAAAGAAGAGAAAGGUUAUAGGAGCCUGGGUGAUAUAAUCAUGUGGCCAGUCUUCUUGUGUGAAUCAUGAACAUAUUCAGAAGAUUAUUCUGAAAGAUGAAUUUCAAAAUAAAUUUUGAACAAAGAGUAGUUUUGGUGAACUG
rnacentral:lncRNA from 1 species